GGGCCCGCACAAGCGGUGGAGUAUGUGGUUUAAUUCGAUGCAACGCGAAGAACCUUACCAGGGUUUGACAUCCUGCGAAUCUCUUGGAAACGAGAGAGUGCCUUCGGGAACGCAGUGACAGGUGGUGCAUGGCUGUCGUCAGCUCGUGUCGUGAGAUGUUGGGUUAAGUCCCGCAACGAGCGCAACCCACGUCUUUAGUUGCCAGCAUUUAGUUGGGCACUCUAGAGAGACUGCCGGUGAUAAACCGGCGGAAGAUGGGGAUGACGUCAAGUCCUCAUGGCCCUUACGGCUGGGGCUACACACGUACUACAAUGGCAACUACAAAGAGCAGCGAAGUCGCGAGGCCAAGCAAAUCUCAAAAAGUUGCCUCAGUUCGGAUUGGAGUCUGCAACUCGACUCCAUGAAGUUGGAAUCGCUAGUAAUCGU
rnacentral:rRNA from 1 species